rnacentral:rRNA from 1 species
UACGGAGGGUGCAAGCGUUGUCCGGAUUUAUUGGGUUUAAAGGGUGCGUAGGCGGUCUUUUAAGUCAGUGGUGAAAGCCUCCAGCUUAACUGGAGAAUUGCCAUUGAUACUGGAAGACUUGAGUACAGACGAGGUAGGCGGAAUUUAUGGUGUAGCGGUGAAAUGCAUAGAUACCAUAAAGAACUCCUACUGCGAAGGCAGCUUACUAGGCUGUAACUGACGCUGAGGCACGAAAGCGUGGGGAUCAAACAGG